rnacentral:misc_RNA from 1 species
GAAAUGCGAUACGUAAUGUGAAUUGCAGAAUUCAGUGAAUCAUCGAAUCUUUGAACGCAACUUGCGCUCCUUGGUAUUCCAUGGAGCAUGCCUGUUUGAGUGUCACGUAAACCCUCACCCUUGCGAUGUCAAAAUUGUCUUGUGGUGGAUUUGGAUGGUGCCGUAAUUGGCUCAUCCUGAAAUGCAUUAGCUUGUGCUUUUUACAGUGCUCGGCAUGGUGUGAUAAUUAUCUGCGCCGUCGCCUUAGGCCUGUUCUACAUGUGCAGCUUCUAAUCGUCCCUUGUGGACAAUUUUACUUAACGCUUUGGCCUCAAAUCAGGUAGGAUUACCCGCUGAACUUAA